UACGUAGGGGGCUAGCGUUGUCCGGAUUUAUUGGGCGUAAAGAGCGUGUAGGCGGCCAGGUAGGUCUGGUGUGAAAACUCGAGGCUUAACCUCGAGAUGUCAUCGGAAACCAUUUGGCUAGAGUCCGGAAGAGGAGAGUGGAAUUCCUGGUGUAGAGGUGAAAUUCGUAGAUAUUGGGAAGAACACCGGUGGCGAAGGCGGCGACCUGGUCCUUGACUGACGCUGAGGCGCGAAAGCGUGGGGAGCAAACAGG
rnacentral:rRNA from 1 species